UGGUAAAGUUAUUAAGGGUGCAGGGCGGAUGCCUUGGCACUAGGAGCCGAUGAAGGACGUGAUAAGCUGCGAUAAGCUUCGGGGAGUUGCACGUAAACUUUGAUCCGAAGAUUUCCGAAUGAGGAAACUCACUUAGAGUAAUGUCUAAGUAUCAUUAAGUGAAUACAUAGCUUAAUGAGGGGAACUCAGGGAACUGAAACAUCUAAGUACCUGAAGGAAGAGAAAGAAAUUCGAUUCCGUAAGUAGCGGCGAGCGAACGCGGAUUAGCCCAAACCAAUAAAGUUUUCUUUAUUGGGGUUGCGGACAUAUCAUAACGAAGAGGUAUCGUAAUUGAAGAGGUUUGGAAAGACCCACCACAGAAGGUAAUAGUCCUGUAUGUUAAACGAGAAGACUUUAGAUAUGAUCCAGAGUACCACGGGACACGUGAAACCCUGUGGGAAGCAGGAGGGACCACCCUCCAAGGCUAAAUACUACCUAGUGACCGAUAGCGUAUAGUACCGUGAGGGAAAGGUGAAAAGAACCCCGGGAGGGGAGUGAAAUAGAACCUGAAACCCUGCACUUACAAGCUGUGGAAGCACAUUUCUUGUGUGACCGCGUACUUUUUGUAGAACGGGCCAACGAGUUACGUUAAGUAGCAAGGUUAAGCACUUAAGGUG
rnacentral:rRNA from 1 species